rnacentral:sRNA from 1 species
CUUAAGCGGAAGGUCACCUUCGUACCAGCACCUAUGCACAUCGAAAACCCAAUAAUAGGGACCAAGACACGUACAACGGCUGUUUUCCCAAGGCUACUGAUAAUAGGUUUUUAGUCAGUUAUCCUAAAACACCAAUCAUGUCGUUGUAGUAUUUUAGGUUGUCAAUCCAAAUGGGUGUGAUGCUAACAAUCAAGAUGCAAUCAGAAUUCACAGAGUCAAGCCAAGCAAUAACAGGUUUUGGGGUUUCUAGCAAUCCUAAGUGAACAUGCAGGAAACAAAAAUUCAAGUAGAACAGUAUAAACACUCGACCAACACAGCUUGUUGCCAAGCACUGGGUGUGGUUGAGUGACAGGUCGAGUAACAAACAGAAAAUGUAACAGGGAUACUCGACUACACAGUCUGUUGCCAGACAACAAGGUGGUCGAGUAUCAGGUCGAGUAACUAGCAGAAAAUGCAAAAACUAAACAACAAGAAGCGUGAUGCAGUAAACUAUAACAGGGUAAACAAAGAAAUCAAUUGGAUGAGAAAUUCCCAAGGAUGGGGUAAUUGAGUAGUUUCGUUUCCUCAGUUUACAAGUGAUUGACAAGCUCAAUAAAUUAUCCCUAGACAACAAGUUCAAUAACCAAAUCUAAGUGCCACCGCAACAGAGACCCUCACGUUAAACUUGUCCCAGACUCAAUCACCAUUGAUGAGAGCUAACCUAACAGGAAUUACGAAUCAACAAGUUCAAGCCAAAACGCUCCCUGUAACCAAUACCUUGGUACAAAGCCACAAAUCUUUGGAAUUAGUGGUUCAGACAUUUCAUCCAACACCUUUUGGGCGCGGAAAUGGCUGGGCUCAAAUUCCAAUUAAUCAGAAAGCAAUAGGCAUUAAGAACAACUAAUCCAGAAGGGAUCUAUCAAUCAAACUCAACCACCUAGCAUACUGAGAAUUCUAAACUACUCUAACCCAUCCUCAGAAACCAAGUCACUACUCAGACAUCAUUGUAGAAAGCAUAAACGAUGAAUAGAAUGAAAACAUGAUAGCAACAAAGUAAUAACAAGAUGAUAACACGAUGAACAACUUAGUAAACGCAACGAAAAACAAAAUACUGAAUAGAUUAAGAGAAAUCCGUAUUACAAAAUGUCAAGAACACAGUGUCUGCGGAAUUAAAACUUAGUAAACGAAAAUGAAAAAUGCAUUCUACUUAUAGCGAAAUAUUCUGAAACCCUAAUACUCAAAACGACACAAUAUUGGGACGGAUUAAGAACGGCACUCGACCCAGGUGGUCGAGUGAUUGGUCAAGCGAUAAGUUGGAGUCUUCUUCUCUUCCUUCUCCUUGAGUGUCUGGUUGAGUGCGGAAUGGAGAAGACUCUGAAGCUGGCAGUCGAGUAUGAAGUCGAGUGAUGGAGAUGGCGGCACUCGGCUUGGUGGUAGAGUGAUCGGUCGAGUGUGUGAUGAUGGUGAGACUCGGCCGUGCAAUCGAGUGAGUGAUCGAGUGAAGGUGAUGGAAGUACUCGACCUGGGGGUCGAGUGGUGUGAUCGAGUGAUGGUCGGGUGGUGGAGAUGAUGAUACUCGACCAUGGGGUCGAGUGGUGGUGUGAAGUGAUAAGGCCUUCUACUCGACCAGGAGGUCGAGUGGUUUGUUAAAAUCGCGGAGCCAUCUACUCGACCAUGGGGUCGAGUGUAUUGAUAUGAUCAGGUCCGCUUCUUCCAAUUAGCUCGCCAACAGCUCCAAAUCACCUGAAAACAACACAAAUAUGCAACAAACAUGCAAAACUAUCCUAAACAUGCAAAGUGAUGACAAAUGAUGAGAAAUGGUAUAAAACAGUGGUGAUAUGAUGCUACAGUGAUGACAAAUGGAUGCUCAAAACAUGUAAAAUGCACACUUAUGAACUCUCCCAAACUUAUUCUUUGCUUGCCCUCAAGCAAACAAUUAAGAACAAGAUGGAGGUGAGGUUUGAAAGCGGGGACUCAGAGCCAAAGCACCAGAUAAAUCAGAUGAAAUCAAUGUCCAAGUUGGUAGUUCUAAGCUGAGGUAUGAGCGAAUUCUACUCAAAAACGUUAGUCAUGCCUUGCUAUUAAUCAAUUCGACUCUUAUGCUUGACCUACACAUGUUUUCAAAUCUACCAAUCCCUUUAACAUUCAUUAGUUUUGGAACGUGAAUCAAGCAAUGCAUCAUCAAUGAACUCAUUUGGCUAAGGUAAAGGUAAAGAGACAAAGAUGGUCCCUUACAGAAUAGGCUUUAGUAACAGGGGAUCUCUCAAAAAUGAUUAAGCUUAAGUAGAAUGUUAAAGGUAGUCCCAAGCUAUGCAUACAGAGAUAAGAUCCCAUCUACCCAGAGUAUAACCAAGGAAACUCUAAUGGUAAUCCCAUCUUCAAUCCCAAUAUAAGAACUUAACUCUACCCUUUGCAUUCAUGAUUCUUUUAAACCAUUUUUCUAAUCAUUCUUUUCUUUUCUCUUAACUCUAGGAGAAGCUUUCUCAACACUUUGAUACAUCUAGCAGAUUUGGAUUUCUUUAACAACUAAGGUUCUUGUUUUUAAAAUUUUAAAACCGAGGGCUUUUGCCCUUCUUCAUUAGCUAACAAGAACUAU